AAAGUCGUAACAAGGUUUCCGUAGGUGAACCUGCGGAAGGAUCAUUAACAGUGUACUGUGCUGUCGUGUUAGCUUAGGCUCUCACUCACACAUACUCACUCCUACCAUCAUGUGUGAACCGUUUUGAUGAACCUCGUGUGUCUCUGUCGACGGCUCUCUCGAUGCCGUUGAACGGAACACGCGUUUUACUUUACCAACACUGUAUUAUUGACGCACUGAAUAGUAAAGCUUAGUUGAAAAACUUGCAAAACUUUUAGCAAUGGAUCUCUAGGCUCUU
rnacentral:misc_RNA from 1 species